rnacentral:rRNA from 1 species
UACGUAGGCAGCAAGCGUUGUUCGGAGUUACUGGGCGUAAAGAGUGUGUAGGCGGUUCUCUAAGUUUGGUGUGAAAUCUCCCGGCUUAACUGGGAGGGUGCGCCGAAAACUGGAGGGCUCGAGUAUGGGAGAGGAAAGCGGAAUUCCUGGUGUAGCGGUGAAAUGCGUAGAUAUCAGGAGGAACACCUGUGGUGUAGACGGCUUUCUGGACCAUCACUGACGCUGAGACACGAAAGCGUGGGGAGCAAACAGG